CAGAAAAUAAGAACAAUAUAUAUUUUCAAAGGUAUUUCAAGCGCCUGCAUGACCGAUUUUUGAAAACGAUACAAAAUGUGAGAUGCUUGAUUGGCAUAUUUAGA